ACACCACUACUGGUACC
rnacentral:miRNA from 1 species